rnacentral:rRNA from 1 species
UGGUCAAAGGAGCAUGUCGCCUGUGGAGGAGCCUGCCUUUGAUUAUCUAGUUGGUGGGGUAAAGGCCUACCAAGGCGAUGAUCAAUAGCUGGUUUGAGAGGAUGAUCAGCCACACUGGGACUGACACACGGCCCAAACUCCUACCGAAGGCAGCAGUGGGGAAUAUUGGACAAUGGGGGCAACCCUGAUCCAGCAAUGCCGCGUGUGUGAAGAAGGUCUUCUGAUUGUAAAGCACUUUCGACGGGGACGAUCAUGACGGUACCCGUAAAAGAAGCCCCGGCUAACUUCUUGCCAGCAGCCGCGGUAAUACGAAGGGGGCUAGUGUUGCUCGCAAUGACUGGUCGUAAAGGGCGUGUACGCGGUUUGUACAGUCAGAUGUGAAAUCCCCGGGCUUAACCUGGGAGCUGCAUUUGAUACGUGCAGACUAGAGUGUGAGAGAGGGUUGUGGAAUUCCCAGUGUAGAGGUGAAAUUCGUAGAUAUUGGGAAGAACACCGGCGGCGAAAGCUGCAACCUGACUCAUUACUGACACUGACGCGCGAAAGCGUGAGGAGCAUACAUGAUUAGAUACACUGGUAGUCCACGCUGUAACGAUGUGUGCUAGAUGAUGGGUGACUUAGUCAUUCGUGUCGCAAUAACACGUUAACACACCGACUGGAGAGUACAGCCGAAGGUUGUAACUCAAGGAAUUGACGCGGUCCGCACAGCGGUGGAGCAUGUAGUUUAUUCCAAGCAAGCGCAAACCUUACUGGAUUGAAUGUAUAGCUGCAGCAGAAAUGUUGUUUCCCCUAGGGACUCUACAAAGGUGCUGCAUAGCUGUCCCAGCUCGGAUCUGAGAGUUGGUUAAGUCCGCACCAGCUCACCCCUAUAUUAAUUGCAUCAGUUGGGCUGGCACUCUAGAAAACGCCGUUGACUACCGCAGAAGGGGGGAUGCCUAAGUCCUUUGCCCUUUUGUCUGGGCUACACGAGCUACAUGGCGUAACCGGGGAAGUAGGGGGGACCCAUGCUAUUCAAACCGCCUAGUCGAAUGGCCUCUAACUCGGUGCACUAGGGGGAUCCCUGAAUCCGGAACCCUUGCCCGGGUAAACUUUCCCGCCUUUAAACCCCCCUCAACCUUGGAAUUGUUUACCUUAACCGGGGACAACCAAAAAGCGCCGCCUUUCUGGCCCCCCUUGGGGAAGUUUACAGUCGG